rnacentral:rRNA from 1 species
UCCAUAUUAGUAAGUGGCAAACGGGUGAGUAACACGUGGGAACCUACCCAUCAGUCUGGAAUAACAUUUGGAAACAGAUGCUAAUACCGGAUAAAAUACUCUUCGGAGGAAAGAUUUAUCGCUGGUGGAUGGGCCCGCGUCAGAUUAGGUAGUUGGUAGGGUAAUGGCCUACCAAGCCGACGAUCUGUAGCUGGUCUGAGAGGAUGAUCAGCCACACUGGGACUGAGACACGGCCCAGACUCC